ACGCUCGACACCUACUGGAGGCAGCAGUGGGGAAUACUGCACAAUGGGGGAAACCCUGAUGCAGCGACGCCGCGUGGAGGAAGAAGGUCUUCGGAUUGUAAACUCCUGUUGUUGGGGAAAAAGAGGAUGGUACCCAACAAGGAAGUGACGGCUAACUACGUGCCAGCAGCCGCGGUAAUCUGAGGCGGGCUGGCAAGGC
rnacentral:rRNA from 1 species